UACAGAGGUCUCAAGCGUUGUUCGGAUUCAUUGGGCGUAAAGGGUGCGUAGGCGGCGCGGUAAGUCGGGUGUGAAAUUUUUCGGCUUAACCGGGAAAGGUCGUCGGAUACUGCGUAACUAGAGGACGGUAGAGGCGUGUGGAAUUCCGGGUGUAGUGGUGAAAUGCGUAGAGAUCCGGAGGAACACCAGUGGCGAAGGCGACACGCUGGGCCGUACCUGACACUGAUGCGCGACAGCAUGGGGAGCAAACAGG
rnacentral:rRNA from 1 species